UACGUAGGGUCCGAGCGUUGUCCGGAAUUAUUGGGCGUAAAGGGCUCGUAGGCGGUUCGUCGCGUCGGGAGUGAAAACUCGGAGCUCAACUCCGAGCCUGCUUUCGAUACGGGCAGACUAGAGGUAUGCAGGGGAGAACGGAAUUCCUGGUGUAGCGGUGAAAUGCGCAGAUAUCAGGAGGAACACCGGUGGCGAAGGCGGUUCUCUGGGCAUGAUCUGACGCUGAGGAGCGAAAGUGUGGGGAGCGAACAGG
rnacentral:rRNA from 1 species